GAGUACGACCGCAAGGUUGAAACUCAAAGGAAUUGACGGGGGCCCGCACAAGCGGAGGAACAUGUGGUUUAAUUCGAUGAUACGCGAGGAACCUUACCUAGACUUGAACGUAUUUGGACAGAUCCAGAGACGGAUUCUUCUUUCGGGACCAUUUACGAGGUGCUGCAUGGUCGUUGUCAGCUCGUGCCUUGAGGUGUCGGGUUAAGUCCCAUAACGAGCGCAACCCUUGCCAAUAGUUGCCAGCGAGUAAUGUCGGGGACUCUAUUGGGACUGCCGGUGUAAACCGUGAGGAAGGUGGGGAUGACGUCAAAUCAUCACGGCCCUUAUGUCUAGGGCGACACACGUGUUACAAUGGCCAGUACAGAGGGUCGCUACUAAGUGAUUAGAUGCUAAUCUCAAAAACUGGUCUCAGUUCGGAUUGGAGGUUGAAACUCGCCUCCAUGAAGCUGGAUUCGCUAGUAAUCGCAUAUCAGCCAUGAUGCGGUGAAUACGUUCCCGGGCCUUGUACACACCGCCCG
rnacentral:rRNA from 1 species